rnacentral:misc_RNA from 1 species
GGCAAGAUAAUACACAAAAGUGUAUCAUCUAGUCAUCAACCAGGACAACCCAAAUCCACCCCCUAACCAAUAUCAAGCAGAAAUGAAAUAACAGCUAUGCAAACAUCAAAUAACUUAUAGAAGCUCUCAAUUUGCAAAGGUAAAGUAUUGCGAUUGAUAAUGCAACAAAUAGCUUCCCCCCUUAUUGGAUUGGCAAGAUAAUAUAUCAAAAUGUAAUUAGCAUGGGGUAUAACUAGCAAAGAACACUGAAAGGUAAAGCUUUAUACUGUUUUGUUUACCUGGUUUGAACUUUCAAUAUCCAAUAAUUUUAGCACCAAAAUUUAGGGUGUGCUUAGUUUUAAGGAACUGAAAUUACACAAUUUCAAAUUGAAGUUUUUAAAUUCAAAACAUCACUAGUAUUAAAUUAAAAAUGAAUUGCAUAAAAUCCGUCGUAUUCAAUUGUUCAAAAAUUGUAAAGAUGUCCAUUUCAAAACACAAUU